rnacentral:rRNA from 1 species
UGGGGAAUAUUGCACAAUGGGCGCAAGCCUGAUGCAGCCAUGCCGCGUGUGUGAAGAAGGCCUUCGGGUUGUAAAGCACUUUCAGCGGGGAGGAAGGCGUUAAGGUUAAUAACCUUGGCGAUUGACGUUACCCGCAGAAGAAGCACCGGCUAACUCCGUGCCAGCAGCCGCGGUAAUACGGAGGGUGCAAGCGUUAAUCGGAAUUACUGGGCGUAAAGCGCACGCAGGCGGUCUGUCAAGUCGGAUGUGAAAUCCCCGGGCUCAACCUGGGAACUGCAUUCGAAACUGGCAGGCUAGAGUCUUGUAGAGGGGUGUAGAAUUCCAGGUGUAGCGGUGAAAUGCGUAGAGAUCUGGAGGAAUACCGGUGGCGAAGGCGGCCCCCUGGACAAAGACUGACGCUCAGGUGCGAAAGCGUGGGGAGCAAACAGG